rnacentral:rRNA from 1 species
UGGGGAAUCUUGGACAAUGGGCGCAAGCCUGAUCCAGCCAUGCCGCGUGAGUGAAGAAGGCCUUCGGGUUGUAAAGCUCUUUUACCAGGGACGAUAAUGGCGGUACCUGGAGAAUAAGCCCCGGCAAACUUCGUGCCAGCAGCCGCGGUAAUACGAAGGGGGCUAGCGUUGUUCGGAAUUACUGGGCGUAAAGCGCACGUAGGCGGAUUGUUAAGUCAGAGGUGAAAUCCCGGAGCUCAACUUCGGAACUGCCUUUGAUACUGGCAAUCUCGAGUCCGGAAGAGGUUAGUGGAAUUCCCAGUGUAGAGGUGAAAUUCGUAGAUAUUGGGAAGAACACCAGUGGCGAAGGCGGCUAACUGGUCCGGUACUGACGCUGAGGUGCGAAAGCGUGGGGAGCAAACAGGAUUAGAUACCCGAGUAGUCCCUGAGCGGGCUGGCAAGGCGCAU